AAUCAAGCGGCGUUUUACAACAUCGCUCUCUUCCCUGGCCUUGUUGGAGUGAUUGAUGGAUCCCAUGUGCAGAUUAUUGCACCAUCUGUUGACGAACCCUCAUAUGUAAAUCGUAAACAGUACCACAGUAUAAACACACAGAUUGUAUUUGAUCCAAACAACAUGAUAAUUGACCUUGUUGCGAAGUGGCCAGGCUCGACACACGACUCGAGAAUACUCACCGAAAGCGGGCUUCAUAUUUUAUUUGAACGACACAUCGUGCCAACCGGAUGUCACCUACUUGGAGAUAGUGGCUACCCCUGCAGAAACUGGCUGCUUACGCCGUACUUGAGACCAAAUCCUGGCUCACAGACAUCCUACAAUCGAGCACAUAAAAGGACGCGGAGUGUCGUGGAAAGAGGUAUAGGCCAGCUCAAGAGACGGUUCCAUGUCUUACAUGGAGAGAUUCGCCUUUCUCCAAUUAAGGCAUGUAAAAUCAUAACAUGUUGUGGAAUUCUGCAUAACAUCUGCAAGAUAAGGAAUAUCCCAUUACCUGACAGUGAGUCCAAUGAUCCGGAUGAAGACAUGACAGCCCCCUACAGAGAGAGAGAUAUUCCUGGCCACAACUUGACCUUCAGGAAUCACUUUGCAAACACUCACUUUCAGUGAAAGUUUGUCGCGAGGACUUUGGCUCCUGGACUGUGCUCCAUCCUGCUGGCCUCUUCAUGGAUCCCUGUGCUGAGGAGGCGGUGUCUGGC